rnacentral:rRNA from 1 species
CCUAGAGAACUCUGGUUAAGGAACUCUGCAAAUUGAUACCGUAACUUCGGAAGAAGGUAUGCCUUUUUUGGUCACUGGACUUGCUCCAGGAAGCUGAAGAAGGCCGCAGGUAAUCGGGGGCUGCGACUGUUUACCAAAAACACAGGACUCUGCGAACACGUAAGUGAUGUAUAGGGUCUGACGCCUGCCCGGUGCUGGAAGGUUAAUUGAUGGGGUCAGCCGCAAGGCGAAGCUCUUGAUCGAAGCCCCAGUAAACGGCGGCCGUAACAAUAACGGUCCUAAGGUAGCGAAAUUCCUUGUCGGGUAAGUUCCGACCUGCACGAAUGGCGUAACGCUGGCCCCACUGUCUCGACCAGAGACUCAGUGAAGUUGAAAUCGCUGUGAAGAUGCGGCGUAGCUGCGGAAAGACGGAAAGACCCCGUGAACCUUUACUACAGCUUUACACUGAACUUUGAAUUUAUUUGUGUAGGAUAGGUGGGAGCCUUUGAAGCAGGGGCGCUAGCUCUUGUGGAGGCAACCUUGAAAUACCACCCUGAUAACUUCGGAGUUCUAACCUAGAUCCGUAAUCCGGAUUGGGAACACUGUAUGGUGGGUAGUUUGACUGGGGCGGUCUCCUCCCAAAGAGUAACGGAGGAGUGCAAAGGUACCCUCAGCGCGGUCGGUCAUCGCGCUUUUGAGUGCAAUGGCAUAAGGGUGCUUGACUGCGAGACGUACAUGUCGAGCAGGAACGAAAGUUGGUCAUAGUGAUCCGGUGGUUCUGUAUGGAAGGGCCAUCGCUCAACGGAUAAAAGGUACUCCGGGGAUAACAGGCUUAUUCCUCCCAAGAGUCCACAUCGACGGAGGAGUUUGGCACCUCGAUGUCGGCUCAUCACAUCCUGGGGCUGUAGCAGGUCCCAAGGGUUCGGCUGUUCGCCGAUUAAAGUGGUACGCGAGCUGGGUUCAAAACGUCGUGAGACAGUUUGGUCCCUAUCUUCCGUAGCCGUUGGAGAUUUGAGGGUGAGUUGCUCCUAGUACGAGAGGACCGGAGUGAAUGUAUCUCUGGUGUUCCGGUUGUCACGCCAGUGGCACUGCCGGGUAGCUAUAUACAGACGGGAUAACCGCUGAAAGCAUCUAAGCGGGAAGCCCCCCCCAAGACGAGAUCUCCCUGAGGACUUGAUCCUCCUAAAGGGCCCAAGAAGACUACUUGGUUGAUAGGCUGGGUGUGUACGCGUAGCAAUACGCUUAGCUAACCAGUACUAAUUGCCCGUGAGGCUUGACC